rnacentral:rRNA from 1 species
GACGAACGCUGGCGGCGUGCUUAACACAUGCAAGUCGAACGGAAAGGCCCUGCUUAUGUGGGGUGCUCGAGUGGCGAACGGGUGAGUAACACGAGAGUAACCUGCCCUUGAAUUUGGGAUAACUUCAGGAAACUGGGGCUAAUCCCGGAUAGGAGCUCCUGCUGCAUGGUGGGGGUAGGAAAGUUUCGGCGGUUGGGGAUGGACUCGCGGCUUAUCAGAUUGUUGGUGGGGUAGUGGCUUACCAAGGCUUUGACGGGUAGCCGGCCUGAGAGGGGGACCGGCCACAUUGGGACAGAGAUACGGCCCGGACUCCUACGGGAGGCAGCAGUGGGGAAUAUUGCACAAUGGACGGAAGCCUGAUGCAGCAACGCCGCGUGCGGGAUGACGGCCUUCGGUUUGUAGACCGCUUUCGCCUGUGACGAAGGGUGAGUGACGGUAAUGGGUAAAGAAGCACCGGCUAACUACGUG